CCCUUAGAUGUUCUGGGCUGCACGCGUGCUACACUGAUAUUGCCAAUAUGUCAUUCUUAUCCGAAAUGGAUUGGGUAGUCAAGUAAUGAGAUUUCAUGCUUGGAAUCGGUAAUUGCAAUUUUAUCGUGAACGAGGAAUUCCUAGUAAGCACUAGUCAUCAGCUAAUGUUGAUUAUGUCCCUGCCCUUUGUACACACCGCCCGUCGCUACUACUGAUUGGGUGUUCAAGUGAGAUGCUUAGACCCUUGUUGCAUGGUUCAUUAUUGUGCUCCGAAAGGAAAAAGUUUCAAGCUUGAGUGUCUAGAGGAAGUAAAAGUCGUAACA
rnacentral:rRNA from 1 species